UUUUCUCCGGUGAGCGUAGCUGCC
rnacentral:miRNA from 1 species